rnacentral:misc_RNA from 1 species
GAGAAUGAAACCAAAUGUAUUGCGUCUCAGCAAAGUUUUAUUUAUGGUUCUGUUUAUAUGUUUAAUCAUCUACUCCAUCCAAGAAUUAGAAUACUUAGAAACUUUCAAAAUUAUUCAACCUGCAGAAGCAGAAUAUCCGAAUUCUUUCUGCAACUGCAAACCUAGGAUUGCACGCUAUAUAGAGAAUAUUAACGAAGCCAUAUUACCUGAAUAUAUUGAUUUCUCUAAGGUGAAGAAGGGGGACUAUGUUGGUAAAUCUACAUGUAAUAAUUAUACAUCUGCACUUGGAGCUGGGCAGAAUGUGUUAUCCUACUCGUUAUAUAAUCCUCCCAGGGCUUUAACAGGAGAAAUACUCGAAUUGGAUGCCUGGGAUACAAAAUAUAUUGAGCUUAUAGAGGAUAUAAUUCCUCAUGCAGAGAUGUACUACCCCGGAUGGAGAAUCCGGAUUUAUCACAACAUUACUCGACUGGAACCUGACAGAAUGACGAGACAGGAACUGUGUAGAUUGUAUUGUACAUAUCAUCUUAUAGAUCUAUGUGAUGUCACUAAUUUACCCAGUGUUGGGAACCUUAAUGAAAGAUCUCCUGUUGGUAGACUAUGGAGGUUUCAGCCAGCAGGAGACCCAACAGUUGAUGCGUUUGCUUGCAGAGAUAUUGAUAGUUAUAUGUUGGAUAGGGAGGUGUUUGCAGUCAAGGACUGGUUGAAAUCUCCACACCAAUAUCAUAUUAUGAGAGAUGGACCAUUUCACACCAUGUUCGGUAUGUUGGCCGGUAUGUGGGGCGGCCGGAACUACCAGAAUAUGACGCUAGCUCUGGAAGUACGCAAAGCGUACAUGAGAGUUCAACCUUCAGAAGCUAAGAGUUCAGAUCAGGAUGUUUUGAUUAGUGAGGUCUACCCUUUAUUGAGGUUUGGUCGGGGCUAAUAUGGCUCCUUAUCCAACAAGGAGAGUCGGGUUUACAUUCGUAGGCUAUGGGCCAUCAUGGAAUCAUAUGAUGUGGGCAUUAGCUAAUUCUCCUUGUCCUGUGGAGUGCAGACCCCCAAACCAUCAG